GUAGGUGGCAAGCGUUGUCCGGAAUUAUUGGGCGUAAAGCGCGCGCAGGCGGUUCUUUAAGUCUGAUGUGAAAGCCCACGGCUCAACCGUGGAGGGUCAUUGGAAACUGGAGAACUUGAGUACAGAAGAGGAAAGCGGAAUUCCACGUGUAGCGGUGAAAUGCGUAGAGAUGUGGAGGAACACCAGUGGCGAAGGCGGCUUUCUGGUCUGUAACUGACGCUGAGGCGCGAAAGCGUGGGGAGCAAACAGGGAUCAGAUACCCUGGUAGUCCACGCCGUAAACGAUGAGUGCUAAGUGUUAGGGGGGUUUCCGCCCCCCUUAGUGCUGCAGCUAACGCAUUAAGCACUCCGCCUGGGAGUACGGCCGCAAGGCUG
rnacentral:rRNA from 1 species